CAUUUAGUGGUUGAAGGCUCUGCCCGAAUUCAGUGUUCCGUUAACGGUCGUAACGGUUAGCCGAGAUUUGAAUUCAAAGUGAAUACCGUUUUCUUUUCUUUUCUUCUUUUUUUUUUCUAUAUAGACUUUUGUUCUCCGUUCGUAUCGUGGCUGGAUUCACGUUUCUUCCUAAUUAUCAGGGGAGGCGACGUCAUGCAGACUCUGGCCACUUGGCUGUGCAUGGCCCUGUUGGCGACAGCACAAAGACGCAGAUUUAAACACCGCCAUGGAGCCAUUUCGAAAGUCGACACCCAGCUGGACCGAGGUGACUGCAGUGACCACCCAAGACCAAUUCACAACGCGAUGAUAACAGUUCUGUCUUUUAGGUAUGGUAUGACGUGUUAAUUUUGAUGUCAUUGUUGUUAGU